UUUGUUUGUUUGUUUUGGUUCUUUUUUUCGGAGCUGGGGACCGAACCCAGGGCCUUGCGCUUCCUAGGCAAGCGUUCUACCACUGAGCUAAAUCCCCAAGCCCCCCUAGCCACAGUUUUAAAAAGGUUUCCUUUUGUGAUUUCCUCUCCCAGUGAAGAAAAUUUAAACCUAAAUAUACUCAGGAUUUUUUUUUUCCUUUUCUUUUUUUUCGGAGCUGGGGACUGAACCGAGGGCCUCGUGAUUGCUAGGCAAGUGCUCUACCACUGAGCUAAAUCCCCAACCCCUCAGGAUUUUACCAUUUGCUAAACAGGUUCUUUUUAUUUCUCUGAAAUUCAGGUGUAAAAUUUCACUCCAGGUAAAAAGAUUCCAAGUGAAGUGAGCAUUUCUAUCUUGAAUUCUUUGCUUCUGCCACUUAUUAAAAUAGCAGUCAUAUGAAAGCCAUAUAGGUCAUUUUAAAGAGGAUAGAUAGAUAGAUAGAUAGAUAGAUAGAUAGAUAGAUAGAUAGAUAGAUAGAGAUCUAUAUAGACAGACUAGAGAUAUAAAAUAGCCUGGAAAUAUUAGGAUACAAUAAAAAGCAGUUGUAAAAGAUCCAUUUUUUUCCAACCAGUAUGUUAAAAAGUUUAUUUCAGUAACAUUGUAAGGCAACAAUUAACCUUCAACAAGUCAAUAAAGAAGUGGAAAAGAGAUGGACAGACAUGUUCUUCCAACAGCUUCCUGAGUCACCUAGGCUGGCUUGUGGUCUAACCUCCUUCACAGCAAGACAGGGUGGGGGAUCUUAGACAUUUAGUUAUAGCUGCUAAACUGGAAAUGCUGUAUAGAACAGUCUUCCUUAAAAAAUUAAGAACUGUAAAGUCAGUUCUUUAUGCUUCUUCCUAAUGUGCUGCUUGAGUUUAUACUCAUUGGGGGAUGCAUUACUUAGACCUGGAACUGUCUUUUGAGAAGAGAACGACACAAGUGGUCAGGUAAUCUUCAAAAGGGAAAGGAGCUACUGAUAACGACAGUGUGCUUUUUAAAAGCCAUGAAUACUGUAUGUAAUUACUUGACCAUUUCUGGCCUUAAAGCAUGCCCUGAAACUGAACCUUUUGUUAGUGGCUGCAUAAUAAUCUUAAGAGAAAAUCAAAAUCAUUUGCAUAGAGAAACAACCCAAAGACAGACAGAAAACCAUGAUUGAUUAUACUGAAAAGGCAGUAUAAAGGCUCAAAGGACAGAAGUCAGAGGACAUCUUGGCUUUUUUGUCCUGCUUCAGCAUGACAUGUUGCACCCCUCCC
rnacentral:lncRNA from 1 species